rnacentral:rRNA from 1 species
CCUACGGGUGGCAGCAGUGAGGAAUAUUGCACAAUGGGGGCAACCCUGAUGCAGCAACGCCGCGUGAAGGAGGAAGUAUUUCGGUGUGUAAAGCUCUAUCAGCAGGGGAUAGAAAAGAAGGUACCUGAACAAGAAGCCCCGACUAACUACGUGCCGGCAGCCGCGGUAAUACGGAGGAGGCAAGCGUUAUCCGGAUGUACUGGGGGUAAAGGGAGCGUAGACGGAAAGGUAAGUCAGAAGUGAAAGUCCAAGGCUCAACCAUGGGAUUGCUAUUGAAACUGUCAAACUAGAGUACGGGUGAGGUAAGAGGAAUGCGUAGUGUAGCGGUGAAAUGCGUAGAUAUUAGGAGGAACACCAGUGGCGAAGGCGGCUUACUGGACUGAAACUGACGUUGAGGCUCGAAAGCGUGGGGAGCAAACAGGAUUAGAUACCCCGGUAGUC